GCGCCCGUAGCUCAGUGGAUAGAGCAGCAGCCUUCUAAGCUGAGGGUCGGAAGUUCGAUUCUUCCCGGGCGCACCA
rnacentral:tRNA from 1 species